CUGGCUUGGGAAUCAUCCUGUACAGAAGGUCAUCAGUCUUCUUCAUCUCAUAGUCCAACAUCUUCAUACUCUCCUCCAGUUUACUGGACUUCUUUUGCUCCUGCACUCACAAUGGGGAAUAAGACAGAAUAACACCUUAAUGAAACUGAAAUUCAGCGUGACUUUUGCAACUGACUGCAGUGAAAUUGAUCUGACCACAAGCCAGCAGGCUCCUUGGACAUGAUCUCAAACAGGUUGUUGGGAUGGGAGAUGAUCUGUGUACAGAUUGCUAAGUGAACUCCACUAGGGGGCGAGCCAACAAGAAGGCAUCGUUGAUCUUCUUUCCAUCCAGAUCAGGGAAGACUGUGGCAAGGCCUGAGCCAACGUUAUGCACCACCAUGUCCUAAAGAAUCAAAGAAUUGCAGUGACUGU